rnacentral:rRNA from 1 species
UUAAGCGACUAAGCGUACACGGUGGAUGCCCUGGCAGUCAGAGGCGAUGAAGGACGUGCUAAUCUGCGAUAAGCGUCGGUAAGGUGAUAUGAACCGUUAUAACCGGCGAUUUCCGAAUGGGGAAACCCAGUGUGAUUCGUCACACUAUCAUUAACUGAAUCCAUAGGUUAAUGAGGCGAACCGGGGGAACUGAAACAUCUAAGUACCCCGAGGAAAAGAAAUCAACCGAGAUUCCCCCAGUAGCGGCGAGCGAACGGGGAGCAGCCCAGAGCCUGAAUCAGUGUGUGUGUUAGUGGAAGCGUCUGGAAAGGCGCGCGAUACAGGGUGACAGCCCCGUACACAAAAAUGCACAUGCUGUGAGCUCGAUGAGUAGGGCGGGACACGUGGUAUCCUGUCUGAAUAUGGGGGGACCAUCCUCCAAGGCUAAAUACUCCUGACUGACCGAUAGUGAACCAGUACCGUGAGGGAAAGGCGAAAAGAACCCCGGCGAGGGGAGUGAAAAAGAACCUGAAACCGUGUACGUACAAGCAGUGGGAGCACAGAGCAAUCUGUGUGACUGCGUACCUUUUGUAUAAUGGGUCAGCGACUUAUAUUCUGUAGCAAGGUUAACCGAAUAGGGGAGCCGAAGGGAAACCGAGUCUUAACUGGGCGUUAAGUUGCAGGGUAUAGACCCGAAACCCGGUGAUCUAGCCAUGGGCAGGUUGAAGGUUGGGUAACACUAACUGGAGGACCGAACCGACUAAUGUUGAAAAAUUAGCGGAUGACUUGUGGCUGGGGGUGAAAGGCCAAUCAAACCGGGAGAUAGCUGGUUCUCCCCGAAAGCUAUUUAGGUAGCGCCUCGUGAAUUCAUCUCCGGGGGUAGAGCACUGUUUCGGCAAGGGGGUCAUCCCGACUUACCAACCCGAUGCAAACUGCGAAUACCGGAGAAUGUUAUCACGGGAGACACACGGCGGGUGCUAACGUCCGUCGUGAAGAGGGAAACAACCCAGACCGCCAGCUAAGGUCCCAAAGUCAUGGUUAAGUGGGAAACGAUGUGGGAAGGCCCAGACAGCCAGGAUGUUGGCUUAGAAGCAGCCAUCAUUUAAAGAAAGCGUAAUAGCUCACUGGUCGAGUCGGCCUGCGCGGAAGAUGUAACGGGGCUAAACCAUGCACCGAAGCUGCGGCAGCGACGCUUAUGCGUUGUUGGGUAGGGGAGCGUUCUGUAAGCCUGCGAAGGUGUACUGUGAGGUAUGCUGGAGGUAUCAGAAGUGCGAAUGCUGACAUAAGUAACGAUAAAGCGGGUGAAAAGCCCGCUCGCCGGAAGACCAAGGGUUCCUGUCCAACGUUAAUCGGGGCAGGGUGAGUCGACCCCUAAGGCGAGGCCGAAAGGCGUAGUCGAUGGGAAACAGGUUAAUAUUCCUGUACUUGGUGUUACUGCGAAGGGGGGACGGAGAAGGCUAUGUUGGCCGGGCGACGGUUGUCCCGGUUUAAGCGUGUAGGCUGGUUUUCCAGGCAAAUCCGGAAAAUCAAGGCUGAGGCGUGAUGACGAGGCACUACGGUGCUGAAGCAACAAAUGCCCUGCUUCCAGGAAAAGCCUCUAAGCAUCAGGUAACAUCAAAUCGUACCCCAAACCGACACAGGUGGUCAGGUAGAGAAUACCAAGGCGCUUGAGAGAACUCGGGUGAAGGAACUAGGCAAAAUGGUGCCGUAACUUCGGGAGAAGGCACGCUGAUAUGUAGGUGAAGUCCCUCGCGGAUGGAGCUGAAAUCAGUCGAAGAUACCAGCUGGCUGCAACUGUUUAUUAAAAACACAGCACUGUGCAAACACGAAAGUGGACGUAUACGGUGUGACGCCUGCCCGGUGCCGGAAGGUUAAUUGAUGGGGUUAGCGCAAGCGAAGCUCUUGAUCGAAGCCCCGGUAAACGGCGGCCGUAACUAUAACGGUCCUAAGGUAGCGAAAUUCCUUGUCGGGUAAGUUCCGACCUGCACGAAUGGCGUAAUGAUGGCCAGGCUGUCUCCACCCGAGACUCAGUGAAAUUGAACUCGCUGUGAAGAUGCAGUGUACCCGCGGCAAGACGGAAAGACCCCGUGAACCUUUACUAUAGCUUGACACUGAACAUUGAGCCUUGAUGUGUAGGAUAGGUGGGAGGCUUUGAAGUGUGGACGCCAGUCUGCAUGGAGCCGACCUUGAAAUACCACCCUUUAAUGUUUGAUGUUCUAACGUUGACCCGUAAUCCGGGUUGCGGACAGUGUCUGGUGGGUAGUUUGACUGGGGCGGUCUCCUCCUAAAGAGUAACGGAGGAGCACGAAGGUUGGCUAAUCCUGGUCGGACAUCAGGAGGUUAGUGCAAUGGCAUAAGCCAGCUUGACUGCGAGCGUGACGGCGCGAGCAGGUGCGAAAGCAGGUCAUAGUGAUCCGGUGGUUCUGAAUGGAAGGGCCAUCGCUCAACGGAUAAAAGGUACUCCGGGGAUAACAGGCUGAUACCGCCCAAGAGUUCAUAUCGACGGCGGUGUUUGGCACCUCGAUGUCGGCUCAUCACAUCCUGGGGCUGAAGUAGGUCCCAAGGGUAUGGCUGUUCGCCAUUUAAAGUGGUACGCGAGCUGGGUUUAGAACGUCGUGAGACAGUUCGGUCCCUAUCUGCCGUGGGCGCUGGAGAACUGAGGGGGGCUGCUCCUAGUACGAGAGGACCGGAGUGGACGCAUCACUGGUGUUCGGGUUGUCAUGCCAAUGGCACUGCCCGGUAGCUAAAUGCGGAAGAGAUAAGUGCUGAAAGCAUCUAAGCACGAAACUUGCCCCGAGAUGAGUUCUCCCUGACUCCUUGAGAGUCCUGAAGGAACGUUGAAGACGACGACGUUGAUAGGCCGGGUGUGUAAGCGCAGCGAUGCGUUGAGCUAACCGGUACUAAUGAACCGUGAGGCUUAACCUU